rnacentral:rRNA from 1 species
AUUGAACGCUGGCGGCAGGCCUAACACAUGCAAGUCGAGCGGAUGAAGGGAGCUUGCUCCUGGAUUCAGCGGCGGACGGGUGAGUAAUGCCUAGGAAUCUGCCUGGUAGUGGGGGAUAACGUCCGGAAACGGGCGCUAAUACCGCAUACGGCCUGAGGGAGAAAGUGGGGGAUCUUCGGACCUCACGCUAUCAGAUGAGCCUAGGUCGGAUUAGCUAGUUGGUGGGGUAAAGGCCUACCAAGGCGACGAUCCGUAACUGGUCUGAGAGGAUGAUCAGUCACACUGGAACUGAGACACGGUCCAGACUCCUACGGGAGGCAGCAGUGGGGAAUAUUGGACGAUGGGCGAAAGCCUGAUCCAGCCAUGCCGCGUGUGUGAAGAAGGUCUUCGGAUUGUAAAGCACUUUAAGUUGGGAGGAAGGGCAGUACGUUAAUACCUUGCUGUUUUGACGUUACCAACAGAAUAAGCACCGGCUAACUUCGUG